rnacentral:lncRNA from 1 species
GGGUCAGGCCAGUCAGUGUCCCAACACCCCUUCUCUUUCUCUUUUCUCCUCCUCUCACUCUUUCUCUCUCUUCCCCCCUCUCCCUCUCCCUCUCUCUCUGUCUUCCCUCUCUCUUUCUCCCUCCCCCUCUCUCUGUCUCUCUCCAUCCCUCCCUCCCCCUCUUUCUCCCUCCCUCUCUCUGUCCCCUGUCUCUCCCUCCUUCCCUCUCUCCCUCUCACUCUCUGUCUCUCCCUCACUUUCUCUGUCUCUCUCUCCAACCCCUGCCGAAGUUGCUCGCCUCAGAAUUUCUUUCUCUCUGUCUGUCUCUGUCCCUAUAUUUAUUUCUCUCCCUCUCUCCUUCCCUCUCUCUGUCUCUCCCUCCUUUUCUGUCUCUCCCCCUCCCUCCUUUGCUCCCUUGCCCCCAUCUGUCUCUCUAUCUGUCUGUCUCUGUCCCCCUAUCUUUCUCUCUCCCCUUCUUCUCUCUCCCUCCUUCCCUCUCUUUCUCUCCGUCCCUCUCUCUUUGUCUCUCUUUCUCCCUCCCUCCUUUGCUCCUUCAUCCCUCUCUUUCUGUCUCUGUCCCUCUGUUUCUCUCUCUCCCCUCUGUCUCUCUCCCUCCUUUGUUCCUUCCCUCUUUCUCUCCCUCUCUCUCUCUUUCUCUCUCUCCCUCUCUGUCUCUCCUUCCUUCUCUCUGUCUCUCCCUCCCUCUCUCUGUCUCUGUCCCUCUCAGCUAUCUCUCCCUCCUCUCCCUGUCCUUGAAGCCUCCCUCUCUCAUCCCCAACCAAAUGGGCCUCCCAGUCAGACCUCCUCCCUCUCCACUGGUUAUUUAUUUAUGCAUAUAAUGCAAUUGGCCUCGGGGAUAUUUUUAGCUAGCUGAGAAACCACAGUCAGAGAGGAUCCUGGGAGGGAGACUCUUCUAGAGGGGCUUUGGGAUGUUCGAGCUGGCUCGAAAGCUUGACCCUUCCAAAAUGGCAGAGAGUCCUGCAGCUGGGCCUCAUUGCUUUGCUCUAGGGGUAGAGAGCCAGUAUUUGUAAAGAAAUCUUAUUUGCUG